UAGUAACGGCGAGUGAAGAGGGAAAAGCUCAAAUUUUGAAUCUGGUGUCUUUGACCCCCGAGUUGUAAUCUAGAGAAGUGUUUUCCGUGUCGGACCGUGUACAAGUUCCCUGGAACGGGGCGUCAUAGAGGGUGAGAAUCCCGUAUAUGCCACGGACUACUGAUGCUCUGUGAUACACUCUCAACGAGUCGAGUUGUUUGGGAAUGCAGCUCAAAAUGGGUGGUAAAUUCCAUCUAAAGCUAAAUAUUGGCGAGAGACCGAUAGCGAACAAGUACCGUGAGGGAAAGAUGAAAAGCACUUUGGAAAGAGAGUGAAACAGUACGUGAAAUUGUUGAAAGGGAAGCGUUUGAAGUCAGUCGCAUCUGUUGGGAUUCAGCCUGGCUUCUGCCUGGUGUAUUUCCUUUCCGAUGGGUCAGCAUCAGUUUUGACCAAGGGAAAAAGACAUUUGGAAUGUGGCUGUCUUCGGGCAGUGUUAUAGCCUUGUGUUGUAUGUCUUGGUUGGGACUGAGGAACGCAGCGCGCCAUUUUGGCCGGGGGUCGCUCCUCUCGACACGCGCUUAGGA
rnacentral:rRNA from 1 species